UAGUUGCCUGUCUAACAGGUCUAACAGGAAAAGUAUAUUUCCCAUACUUUACCACCAUGUCUCAGCUGCUGUCUCAUCCUGGAACUUCCCUCAGCAUCUGAGACCUUCUCAACCUGUAACACCAUCUUCUAAUCAAUCCUACUCACUCUGGAACAUCCCUCUGCCAUGCUAGUCCUCUCCUUCCAUUGGUGAGAUCCUCCAGGGACCUCCAUUUUGAGGAAGAACCCUUUAUUCCCCUCUUGGCCCUGCUCCUGACUCUGCAGACUUCAGCACCAUGACCAUACUAUAAAAUAACUGAACCCAGUUCGGAAUAAACUCCAAUGCUGAUCGGUUUUCAAGAAGUUAACCUAAGACAAAAUACUGCUAGAGGGCAGCAAUUUGGAUUCAUUAAAGAGAACCCGUGUAAAUAAUAAAAACAAAACUAAAAUGCAGAAUUAAAUUAAGGGAUAGGAAAUUAAAUUUGUGAAUCUAAUCUGAAAUUGAGGCCUUCAAUGUACAGACUUGUACUGGUUUGGCUCUUUGCUCAGAGUUUAAGCUGAGGAUCUGCGGAAGCUCCAGCAUCCAGGGAAGUGACUGUGCCUGGCGGAGGGGACACCACUGCUUCUGCUCUCUCCCCAGGUACCCAAGAGAGGGGAAGGUGCCUGCCGUGCAGAGCCCAAAGAGGAGGUACAGGCCUCCUGAUGGCAUGGCAGAGAGCUGCCUCUCCACAGGGUUACCCUCUGGCAGUUCAAAGUGAUGCAUCCUGACCACAUCUGGAUGGUUCUCGCUGUGGCCCAAUGUCUGGGUAGGGGAGAAAAGCCUGCAGCUGUGGUUCUUCGCCGACAGGAGGGUGCACAGGAAAUGAAGCAGAUGGAGGGCAGUGGGACUGCAAUCAUCAUCAUUGGAGGUUUGAGCUGAUCUGCUGAGAGGAAGCAGCCCUGUACAGAGCUGGGCCAAACCAGGACACACCUUGUAUCCAUGUGUCUUGGAUUCAAGAAUUCGCUCUCCUCACCCACCCACGCCUACUCUCCAACUGGCUGCUGGGCUCUCACAGGCUGCAGAAGCCUGUGUACAUGGGCCUGUGGCCAAGGUAGAAAAGUGUGAGCCACCCCUUUUUCUGGACAGAGGAGUGAUCCCUCACAGUGACCCUUGAACACAGAUCCCAGUCUCUUUUACCACUUCUUGGGAAGAUCUGCUCCAGAUAGAGGACCAGCAAUGAAGCUAUGAAAUCCAGUUGGCUACAAACACCCCCUAGAAAUUUAGCAUUUCCUCCAAUUAUGAAUGUGGACAACAAACACUAUUCUGAGUCCAUAGACUUUGCCAGACUGCUGGUCUGGUCCAUGACACAGAAAAGGUAAAGAGCCCCUGGUUUUGCCCAACCCAUAUGUAAAAUGAACACCCUCUAAUGUGUGUGAUAAGUGGUCAUUUUACCUAAAGGCUUCAAUUGCUGGUGUUUCCUUGUAUAAAGCUUGACAACCCCCUGCAACUUUUAGCCAUUAUUACCUAUUCAACAUAGUAGCCUUCAAGUACUCAAAGUACAUAACAUUGGCGUAUGUGACAUAUGUGAUGUUCUCUCCUCUAGGCUAAAAAUUCAUGCAUUCUUUCAAGUGAUCCUCCUGUGAUGUGACUUUGAGGCCUUUUACUAUCCUGUUGGUCCUUCCUUGGGAGCCCUCCAGCUCAUUCAUGUGUCUCUUUAAAUGGGGCAUCCCAGAACUUUAGAUAACUUUAGAUACUUUAGAUAUCAUCUGAGCAUAACAGCAUACAGAGGGACUAUGAUUUCCCAAAUACUGAGCACUUUUCAUCUCUCCAACUCUAUGUCUGACUUGGCUCUUACAGGUCUCUCCAAUUCCACUCAUCAACUUUCCACUUCACUAGUCACUGUCUCCCUGAAAGCGGUCUCAAGAUGUAUCCUCAUGGAACUCCAACAAUGAAGUGAAGAAUUCCAUCCAUCAUAAAUCUGGAGCUAGGAGGAAUGUCCAAGGCCUUCUAGUACAAUUCUUCCAUGUUAUUGAGGUCCAGAGAGGCAAGUAAUUUGCCCAAGGUUGUACAGGUAGUAAAUAUAACAGGUAGAAUUUGACUCAACUCCCAAACCAGUGUUUUUGCCACUGCACCAUGCUGUUUUCACUCAACAGACUAUUUUACCACAUGAAACCAAAUAUCCAAAUAUUUGGCAAUGGAUCACUGAAGGACGGAUUCCAUUUCCCUCUUAGAGUUGGGCACUGCAUUGACAAAGUCACACUUUCUUUGCUUCAUUUGCCCCUUGAAAGCUUGAUCCAAUGGUAAGAUUGAGGAAAAUAACCAAAUAAUUUAGACCUCAAUGCUGUUGGUUGUUUGAUUAAUUAAAAGCUAACUGCAUCUGAAAUAUUCAACUAACUGAAGCAAAAAUGUUUUGUUUUGGUUUUCUGCUUGAAUUCUCUGGAUAAUUUAGCCAAUUCCCAUUGCUUUUGGCUGUCCACCUAACAGGACCUGGAUCUUUAACCCAUUCUUGGGCCCAUGGCUAGAACUUAAAACACCAUGCCGAACCAAAUCCUACUUCCCCAAAGCAAUCCCUAAGCCCCAGAUCAAAUCAACUGAGCAAGGGGCAGCUAGGUGGCGCAAUGGAUAGAGUGCCGGCCCUGAAGUCAGGAGGA